GUCCACGCCCUAAACGAUGUCGACUAGGUGUUCGGGAAGGAGACUUCUUGAGUACCGCAGCUAACGCGUGAAGUCGACCGCCUGGGGAGUACGGUCGCAAGAUUAAAACUACAAAGGAAUUGACGGGGACCCGGCACAAGCGGUGGAUGAUGUGGAUUAAUUCGAUGCAACGCGAAAACCUUAACCUACCCUUGACAUGCCUGGAACCCUGGUGAGAGCUAGGGGUGGCCUUCGGGAGCCAGGACACAGGUGCUGCAUGGCUGUCGU
rnacentral:rRNA from 1 species